CAGGGAGGCAGCAGAUGGCUGAAAUUCUGACGCAAUGUGGCUGGUUAAUGCACGAUCUGAAAACCCCUGCACUGGUGAUUUUGGGACAGAUCUAGAAUAUACCAAUAAAUAUAUUAACAUACCAAGUAGUCCAGGAGCAGCCACUGGGCAAACACCAUACCUUGCAUCCCUGGUGCUGUCUCUGAGCUCAACAGACACGUCUUUGCAGAAGAGUUCUAUAAUGGUGGUACAAUGGCGCCCCCCUCAUGACAGAAGCUUGAACUACAGCUUGAACAUCGUGUGA
rnacentral:lncRNA from 1 species